rnacentral:rRNA from 1 species
CCUCGGGGGGCAGCAGUGGGGAAUCUUCCGCAAUGGGCGAAAGCCUGACGGAGCAACGCCGCGUGAUCGAAUGAAGGCCUUCGGGUUGUAAAGAUCUGUUGACAGGGACGAAUAAGCAAUGCGAAUAGUUUUGUGUAUGACGGUACCUGUUUAGAAAGCUCCGGCUAACUACGUGCCAGCAGCCGCGGUAAUACGUAGGUGGCAAGCGUUGUCCGGAUUUACUGGGUGUAAAGGGCGUGCAGCCGGAGAGACAAGUCAGAUGUGAAAUCCACAGGCUCAACCUGUGAACUGCAUUUGAAACUGUU